AGCGGGAAGAGCUCAGGUUGUAAAUCCUUCGGGAGUUGUAAUCUGUCGAGGUAAGCUUAAUGGUGCUGCCCGGGUAACUGUGCAUGAGCCACGGUCAGAGAGGGUGAGAACCCCGUCCCCCGGAACAGCCCAGUCCAGCGAACCUUCAACGAGUCGAGUUGCUUGGGAAUGCAGCUCUAAGUGGGUGGUAAAUUCCAUCUAAAGCUAAAUAUUAGUAGGAGACCGAUAGCGAACAAGUACUGUGAAGGAAAGAUGAAAAGGGCUUUGAAAAGAGUUGUGAAAAGUACCUGAAACCGCUAAAAGGGAAGCGAUUGCUGCCAGUGGGCGCGGACCAGAUCGACAGCCCUCCGGGGUGGCUUUUCUGUACGCGCAGUCAGCAUGGGUUGGGGACGCGGCAAACGCGGCGGUGGCUGUCAGCCCCGCUUGCCGCCGUGUGCCCGACCGAGGAACACUGUUUGCCAGAUGCUGACGAAAUGGCAACAAUCACCCCGUCUUGAAACACGGACCAAGGAGUCUAACGUAUGUGCGAGUGUUUGGGUGGCAAACCCAAGCGCGCAAUGAAAGUGAGCGGUGGGAGCACCACCGGCCGACCUUUUAGGUUUGAGUUCGAGCAUAUCCGUUGGGACCCGAAAGAUGGUGAACUAUGCCUGUGUAGGGCGAAGCCAGGGGAAACCCUGGUGGAGGCUCGAAGCGAUUCUGACGUGCAAAUCGAUCGUCAAAUUUGGGUAUAGGGGCGAAAGACUAAUCGAACCAUCUAGUAGCUGGUUCCCUCCGAAAUUUCCCUUAGGAUAGCUGCAACUUGUACAGUUUUAUCAGGUAAAGCGAAUGAUUAGAGGCAACUGGGACGAAAUGUCCUGGUCCUAUUCUCAAACUUUAAAUGGGUAAGACGCACCGCUAGCUUAACAGUAGCGGUGCUUUUGAAUGGAAGUUGCUAGUGGGCCAAGGCUGGUAAGCAGCGUUGGCGAUGCGGGAUGAACCGAACGUGAUGUUAAAGCGCCGGACUAUCCGCUCAUGAGAUACCACAAAAGGUGUUGGCUCAUUUAAACAGCAGGACGGUGGCCAUGGAAGU
rnacentral:rRNA from 1 species